GGCUCCAUCUGGUGAAGGCAAGAACCAGUGAGGGACCAUGUAUAUUGCAUUCAAGAAGAAGAUGGUGGGAGAUAUCUCUUCCACCAAGCGGAAGGUCUUUACCAUGGCUCUAUCCUCAGUUCUUCAAGCAACAUUUGGAGGACUCCUAGGCUACCAACCAAAAGGAAAACAGGAGGAAUCAAUGCAAUACACAGAAAACAAUUUCACUUUUCCUCAAGGCAACUGUUCAUCAUGGCACAAAUCCCUUGUUCAGGCCAAGCUGGGGAGGAGGAAAUGAAAGCAAAAAGGCAAAUAAGCCCAAUGAAGGAGGAUUGCUCACCUACAGUUUGGCAGGUCUGGGCUGCAGAUCUUGGCUGUCAUUCUUAGCUCAGGAACAAUAUGAAGAACCAGAGCACAAUGUUGUAAAUCCAACCAUCAAGACUUUAACCUGGGAAGCAGCUGCAUGGUAUCUUUUUGAUGCUUUGGGGAGUUCAAGAUUCUCUUUGCAAGGAACAAAUUUUGCAGAGAAUAACCAAAGUUGUCUAAGGGCAACACAGUGACUAUGUCUCCUAAAAAUAAAAAGAAUUGUGUCUAUAAAAGAGAUGGCUGUUUAAAUGGGGAAGUUUAUUUGCAUAUAAAAAGGCAUUUAAGUAAAAAGGUGUGUUCAGACUUGGCUCUGCCUCUCUAAGCAUCAGAAGCCCAGAAUACCUUGCACUGGGGCACAUUGCCCUUGGAUACAGAGCCCUAAGAGAGCAAGGCUUUAGGCCCUUACCUGGGUCACUGCUCCUGUGUUCCAUAGCAGCACUUCUCACACUCGAAUGCACACAUGCAUCUCCCCCAAAUCUUGCUAAAUUGCAGAUUCUGAUCAUGGAACUCUGGAGCAGGGCCCAGGAGGGGUUCUGAAUUCUGACAAGUUGAUGGGUUUCCUUGAUGUUUUGAUUCAUGAACCAUAUUUUGGGUAAUAAGGUCCUAGAGAAUGCCACUGAGUAUGGAUGGAGGACAAGUGAUAGAAGUCUGUUUUACCAGUAGCAUUGCAUUAUCCUUGAAGGAAAUCAGGCACGUGGCAAGUAGGUUGGGAGUCAGGUGAGCCCAGGUCUGGAUCCUUGGGAAUCUCAAGGCAGAGAGGAGGAGGAGGCUCUGGUGGAAGCAUCAGGGUGGUCCUUUCUCUUUCUGUAUUGUCAGAAUGGGAUCAGACAGGAAUGUAUCAGGACUUAGGUAAAGAGAAAUUUCACUAAAUAAAUGUCCUGUAGGGCAAUAAAGCUGUAAUAAUUGGGAUUAUUUUUCUACAUCUAUACAAGAUCUCCAAAAUACUGUGCAAUUUCACUGGAAGAGACCACAGUACUGCAAUAAGGGAGGGAGACGACUGCUAUCUGGAACAAAGCUCAGACGUGGGAUCUACAAGACUUUCCUAGGUCAGAUUGGCAGAAAGGAAUUUUCUUUGACAGGGAGGAGUAGGCUAAGCUAGGGAGAACCAUUGUGGGAAAGGGAUGGACAGAUGGCAGUGAUAAGACAGUUGAGCAGGAAAUGGCCAGACAGUUCCUCUCCUCCCUUCCCUUCCUCUGGCAGAAACCUCCAGAAGGGGCUGUCCACAAUGUGCUGCUGUUGCAAAUUGAGGGAAAGAAAGAAACUCACCUCAUAUUUGAUUAUUCAAAUCUGCAGGAGUUUUGUCUAAAUUGGCCACGGAGACAAGUGUCUGUGUCUGAGCUUGUCACAGGGAAACAGGAGACCUCAGUGUGUCUUAUCCAAGCUGCAUGGGAAGGGUUUUUGGUUGGUUGGUUUGCAGUACACUGUCUCCAGGAGUGAAAGGGUGGGGAGGGGAUUUCUUAACUGUCAUUGCUCUCCAUGGACACAGGCUCUGGUAAAGGUUAGCACUGUCUCUGCCUGACACGUGGGCUGCGUCUUUAUAAUUUGUCAUUCCUGUCCGAGUGCAGUUUCCUAAAAAUUAAAAACAAGACUCCUGCAAAGAGAAAAUGAAUGUUAAGGAUUAGCUGCCUAUUAGUAAGAAACUCAGUGCAAAAUCUUAAUUGAAAGGAAAUAGAGGAAUAGGAUUUCAACACUCCCCCAAAAAAAUCUUGACAUAAGUGUGCUGUUGGAGACAGCACUGACUAAUUAAUGUCCUGUAGGGCAAUAAAGCUGUAAUAGUUGGGAUUAUUUUUCUACAUCUAUACAAGAUCUCCAAAAUACUGUGCAAUUAAUUUCACAGUACCUAACCUCAAGUAAUAGUAAGUAAAAGAUCAAAUGUAGGUGCAUCCUUCAAGAUAAUUAAAUAGUCCCUGGGGGUCUUGUUAAACCUUGCCCAUGUGGUAGUAAAAAGUCAUGCUGCUCACUUUUUGGUUUUAUAUCUAUAUUUUAAAUGUUUUUUUUUUUCAUAACAUCCUCCAAAUUCGUAGAAAAUUGUAUGAACUGACUGGUUCAAAGCAUAUCUGAUCAAGCAUUAUUCCAGAAAAGUAAUCAAGGAGAACAGAAUUUAAGGGCUAUUCUUUUUAUAAUCAUUGGCAGGAGAAAGUUAAUGUUAUUUUGUUGUUUGAUUCCCCUGGAUUUUCCAUAAGAAAUAUUUUGGGAAACCUUAAAAUAUGAAGGUGGUGGAAAAGAGCCUGUUUCUAUUAACAUCACUCCACAGACUAAAAACAGUGCAGCAAGUUUCAAAACAAAAAUAUUUUUCUGAGGGCUGAACAAUACACUCUGUCAGUCACCCAGUGUGUGAAGGCUCUAUGGCAAGGUACGGCCAAGUGGACUAUUAUUAGUUCUCCCAUGACCCCAAAGCCCUUGUUUGCACACCCAGAUGGGGCCACACUUCCUAAAACCAUCAAGACCCACUUUAAUUAUUCUGUUAAUAGAAACUUGUUGUGAGCCCAGUUACUUCUUGAGUCCAAUUUUUUUUUUUUUUUGCUUCCAAUCUCUGUUAAUUCAGUUAAAUAUCACGUAGCUGGAGGAAUCCAGCAAUUUUGUUAACAAAAAUAAGCUGACUUAUCAGGUUUUAACAAUCAUACUGGAAAACAGGAAUCAUUUAGUAAUCUUUUCAGCUCAAACAUCAACAAUAAUGUGAUGUUUGCUCUCAGCAAACCCUUCAGUGUUAUAAAUAAUUUAAGUGCCCACGUUAUUAAAUAUGGAGAAGGUGUUUUAUUGGAAUCCUUGUGAGACAUUCAUGGUCCCUGAGUAACUGAGCUCAAUAUUCCAGUAGGUAUGGAACAUGUUCACAUAGGAUCAUAUCACCAAAGGAGGAUAAAGCAGGCAAAGGAGGGUAGAGAACACAGGCUUUGCAUAGGAGAAGU